rnacentral:misc_RNA from 1 species
GGAGAAACCUCCUCAGCUUUGAUGGACGGUGGAAAUGGUUUUCCAGCAGCUAAGUACGCCGGUGGAAAAAACGAUACCACGAUAAUGAACCGGAUAAUGCUAAGAUUCCGUCCGAUCGCACCGAAACCUGUCGCCGGAGGUUCAUCGGAUGGAUCUACACCGGAAAAUAACAACAUGGAACUUGUUACCAAAAGAAGAGCGAAGAGAAAGUACGUUAGAGUUAAGAAAAGUAGCAAGUGCAAGUCUAGCAAAGAAGACGAAGCAAAUAAAGACGGAUCUUCAUUGUAUGAGGAUAACGGAGCUGGUAUAACCCUACAGCUGAUGCCGCAAAGCAGUAGCGGCGUCCGAAAUAGUCUAGAAAAUUCUGGAUCUCGACCUUUCUGGAUGAAUUUUCAGAAAUCGGAGAACAGUGAGAUUUUUCCCGUAGGAUCAGAUCAGAUAGAUCGGACGGUUGAGAUGCAGAAGAAAAGAGUGGUGGAGUCAUGGGUGAUGGUAGACCAGAUAACAAACGCGUUGGUAGACGGAGAAGCGUUAGGUAGUACGGAUACAGAGAAGAUGAAGAAUCUGGAGGCUGACACGUGUCCAGGGUUGAUAUCAGACGGUUUAGAUAGAGUUCGGUGGGUGAAUCUGGCGUACCGGAGAAUGGUUGAUCCUCUAGAAGGUUCCGGAAAUUCGCCGGAGCUGGUGACGUGGCUGGUAGUGAAGGAGACGCACCUUGUCAUAGACGAAUUGAGCACAGAAAAAAAGUUAAGCAAAGAGCAUAAAAGUUGAAUUCAAUCAUGUCGGAAGUGGUUUCUAUGGAUGAAAUCAGAGCUAUAUCUGAGAGGCUUGGUGUGGAUCUUGCAAAAAUCAAUCUGGACUCUAUUCAUCUUCCUCCUGGUGAUGAUAUGGGGAUACCCAGUGACGAUGAAGACUUGUUGAAGGAGGACGCGUUGGAGGAGGAUCAAGGUUUUGGAAACAUACUGGUGGUGGAUAAUCUUCCAGUUGUGCCUAAAGAGAAAUAUGAGAAAUUGGAAGGAGUAGUUCGGAAAAUUUACAGCCAACUUGGUGUUAUUAAGGAGGGUGGUCUCAAUAUGCCUGUUGAUCCUGUGACUCAGAAAACACUUGGGUACUGCUUUAUAGAGUAUAAUACUCCUCAGGAAGCUGAGCUGAGUAAGGAGAAGACACACGGAUACAAGUUAGAUAGGUCACAUAUAUUUGCUGUUAACAUGUUUGAAGACAUUGAGAAGUUCCUGAAAGUUCCAGAUGAGUGGGCUC